UGCCAUCAUCCGCUGUAAUACGGAGUGUGCGCUCGUUAAUCGUAAUUACUGGGCGUAAAGCGCAUGCAGGCGGUUGAUUAAGCGAGAUGUGAAAGCCCCGGGCUUAACCUGGGAACUGCAUUUCGAACUGGUCAACUAGAGUCUUGUAGAGGGGGGUAGAAUUUCAGGUGUAGCGGUGAAAUGCGUAGAGAUCUGAAGGAAUACCAAUGGCGAAGGCGGCCCCCUGGACAAAGACUGACGCUCAGAUGCGAAAGCGGGGGGAGCACACAGGAUGAGAUA
rnacentral:rRNA from 1 species